UAUCGCGAGAAUAUGACGCUUCGAGUGUAUAAAAGUCCUCCGCUUCCGUUAUGACGCUCUCUUGAAGUCGUUACCUUCGCUUUUCGAGAAACGUCUCCAACAUGAGAGCGAAGUGGAGGAAGAAGCGCAUGCGCAGGCUGAAGCGUAAAAGGAGAAAGAUGAGGCAGAGGUCCAAGUAAAUCUGCUUCAGCUGAGAUUCUGUUCAUCUUGAAUUCGCUUUGAGAGUCUUAUUGGGGGGAAGUCCAACUGAAGAGGUGCUGUCCAUCUGCUGUGAAGACAGUCCAGUUUGACUGAGGAAACUUGCAUCUCCAGGCUGUCCAGUUGGACUUGACCUUGCUAGGCUCUUUUGGACUUUCAAGGCUUGCCAGUGCAGUGUCUCCUUUUUUUGUUAAUACCUAUCCAAUAAAAGUUUGGUUUAAAAUGUA